AGAACUAUAGUUCCCAGAAUCCCCUGUGCCUGCUGGGCCCUACAAAGAGCCUGAAGUGGGGGGAUUAUCUUUUAAGCCAGAGGCUGUAGCUACUCCAGUGCUCCAGGAGAGUGAAGAGGACAUCAUGCCUGCUGUUUCCUGCAGGCACUCAGGUCUCAGUACUGAAGGUCUGUAAUCUGUUCAUUUGUCUGCCUUGAAACAUCAGAGGACUUAACUGACCACUAGUGAUGAAGACCCUGCAGCCACAGUAUCUUUCAACAGUCCAAGUCACACAGACCAUCUGGAAUAACAGCAUCAGGCAGUGUCGCCAGGUGAUGGUCGCAGUGUCAGGCAGUGUCGCAGGUGAUCAAGCAACAAGCAUCAGGCAGUGUCGCAGGAUGAAGGCAAAACACUCUCCAAUGGAACAGUGUUCCCACAAUACUGAUGAUGCGGUGGUUUUGGAAAAGAACUGAGAAGCCCCUUCAGAAGGUUCGAUCUCUUCUUCUUCAUCUCCAACUGACUCAGCAGUUAUAGAUGGUGGUGGUGGUGGAGGAGGAGGAGGAGCAUCACCAGCUGCUAAGGAUUGCUGGGACAUUGAUAAUCAAACAGGUUCCACUAACAGUGAAGCAAAAUAGAAAGAAUAUCAGUGCCAACAUUUAUUUAAAAUAUGUAAACAAGAAGCUUUUAAAAGCAAAAAAUCACUUACAGUAAGAACUUCCUGAAAAUGGAAGCAGAUUGUUAAAAGGCUCUCUAUGUUUUUAUCAGUGUUCUUGUAUUGAUGUUUUUAUUGUGCAUAUAGAUAGGCAUACCAAACAUGUUGUUUGCACCCUCUUAUAUUUCCUCCUAUAAUAAAUUGUUUCAGGAUAGUA